rnacentral:rRNA from 1 species
GACAGAGGGGGCAAGCGUUGCUCGGAAUUACUGGGCGUAAAGGGCGCGUAGGCGGGAUGGCAAGUCGGUCGUGAAAUCCCUCGGCUCAACUGAGGAGCGUCGAUCGAAACUGCCGUUCUUGAGGGUUGCAGAGGAGACUGGAAUUCCCGGUGUAGCGGUGAAAUGUGUAGAGAUCGAGAGGAACACCGGUGGCGAAGGCGGGUCUCUGGGCAACUCCUGACGCUGAGGCGCGAAAGCGUGGGGAGCAAACGGG